AACAUCAACAUGUGGAUGUGUUCACGGUUUUCAUAAAAUUAUGAUAGGAAUUUUUUGGGAAAAAAAUCCAAGCAACAAAAUUCAGUUACCCUUCCCCUGCUGUUAUCUUUGACGGAGGUGAGUUGCCAGAUAGAUUAAUUGAUUCGAAAGGA